UACAGAGGUGGCAAGCGUUGUUCGGAAUUACUGGGCGUAAAGGGCGCGUAGGCGGCCUUCUAAGUCAGACGUGAAAUCCCCAGGCUUAACUUGGGAACUGCGUCUGAUACUGGGAGGCUUGAGUGCGGGAGAGGGAUGUGGAAUUCCAGGUGUAGCGGUGAAACGCGUAGAUAUCUGGAGGAACACCGGUGGCGAAGGCGGCAUCCUGGACCGACACUGACGCUGAGGCGCGAAAGCCAGGGGAGCAAACGGG
rnacentral:rRNA from 1 species